AUGAACGCUAGCUACAGGCUUAACACAUGCAAGUCGAGGGGCAGCAUUUCAGUUUGCUUGCAAACUGGAGAUGGCGACCGGCGCACGGGCGAGUAACACGUAUCCAACCUGCCGAUAACUCGGGGAUAGCCUUUCGAAAGAAAGAUUAAUACCCGAUGGUAUAAUCAGACCGCAUGGUCUUGUUAUUAAAGAAUUUCGGUUAUCGAUGGGGAUGCGUUCCAUUAGGCAGUUGGUGAGGUAACGGCUCACCAAACCUUCGAUGGAUAGGGGUUCUGAGAGGAAGGUCCCCCACAUUGGAACUGAGACACGGUCCAAACUCCUACGGGAGGCAGCAGUGAGGAAUAUUGGUCAAUGGGCGCAGGCCUGAACCAGCCAAGUAGCGUGAAGGAUGACUGCCCUAUGGGUUGUAAACUUCUUUUAUAUGGGAAUAAAGUUUUCCACGUGUGGAAUUUUGUAUGUACCAUAUGAAUAAGGAUCGGCUAACUCCGUGCCAGCAGCCGCGGUAAUACGGAGGAUCCGAGCGUUAUCCGGAUUUAUUGGGUUUAAAGGGAGCGUAGGUGGACAGUUAAGUCAGUUGUGAAAGUUUGCGGCUCAACCGUAAAAUUGCAGUUGAUACUGGCUGUCUUGAGUACAGUAGAGGUGGGCGGAAUUCGUGGUGUAGCGGUGAAAUGCUUAGAUAUCACGAAGAACUCCGAUUGCGAAGGCAGCUCACUGGACUGCAACUGACACUGAUGCUCGAAAGUGUGGGUAUCAAACAGGAUUAGAUACCCUGGUAGUCCACACAGUAAACGAUGAAUACUCGCUGUUUGCGAUAUACAGUAAGCGGCCAAGCGAAAGCAUUAAGUAUUCCACCUGGGGAGUACGCCGGCAACGGUGAAACUCAAAGGAAUUGACGGGGGCCCGCACAAGCGGAGGAACAUGUGGUUUAAUUCGAUGAUACGCGAGGAACCUUACCCGGGCUUAAAUUGCAUUUGAAUAUAUUGGAAACAGUAUAGCCGUAAGGCAAAUGUGAAGGUGCUGCAUGGUUGUCGUCAGCUCGUGCCGUGAGGUGUCGGCUUAAGUGCCAUAACGAGCGCAACCCUUAUCUUUAGUUACUAACAGGUCAUGCUGAGGACUCUAGAGAGACUGCCGUCGUAAGAUGUGAGGAAGGUGGGGAUGACGUCAAAUCAGCACGGCCCUUACGUCCGGGGCUACACACGUGUUACAAUGGGGGGUACAGAAGGCAGCUACCUGGUGACAGGAUGCUAAUCCCAAAAGCCUCUCUCAGUUCGGAUCGAAGUCUGCAACCCGACUUCGUGAAGCUGGAUUCGCUAGUAAUCGCGCAUCAGCCAUGGCGCGGUGAAUACGUUCCCGGGCCUUGUACACACCGCCCGUCAAGCCAUGAAAGCCGGGGGUACCUGAAGUACGUAACCGCAAGGAGCGUCCUAGGGUAAAACUGGUAAUUGGGGCU
rnacentral:rRNA from 1 species